GAUUAAGUUAUUAAGGGCGCACGGUGGAUGCCUUGGCACUAGAAGCCGAAGAAGGACGUUACUAACGACGAUAUGCUUUGGGUAGCUGUAAGUAAGCGUUGAUCCAGAGAUUUCCGAAUGGGGGAACCCAACAUGAGUGAUGUCAUGUUAUCGACAUGUGAAUUCAUAGCAUGUCAGAAGGCAGACCCGGAGAACUGAAACAUCUUAGUACCCGGAGGAAGAGAAAGAAAAAUCGAUUCCCUGAGUAGCGGCGAGCGAAACGGGAAGAGCCCAAACCAACAAGCUUGCUUGUUGGGGUUGUAGGACACUCUAUACGGAGUUACAAAAGAACAUGUUAGACGAAUCAUCUGGAAAGAUGAAUCAAAGAAGGUAAAAAUCCUGUAGUCGAAAACAUAUUCUCUCUUGAGUGGAUCCUGAGUACGACGGAGCACGUGAAAUUCCGUCGGAAUCUAGGAGGACCAUCUCCUAAGGCUAAAUACUCUCUAGUGACCGAUAGUGAACCAGUACCGUGAGGGAAAGGUGAAAAGUACCCCGGAAGGGGAGUGAAAGAGAACUUGAAACCGUGUGCUUACAAGUAGUCAGAGCCCGUUAAUGGGUGAUGGCGUGCCUUUUGUAGAAUGAACCGGCGAGUUACGAUCUGAUGCAAGGUUAAGCAGC
rnacentral:rRNA from 1 species